rnacentral:rRNA from 1 species
UUAGCUAGUUGGUGAGGUAAUGGCUCACCAAGGCCACGAUCAGUAGCUGGUUUGAGAGAACGAUCAGCCACACUGGGACUGAGACACGGCCCAGACUCCUCCGGGAGGCAGCAGUGAGGAAUUUUCCGCAAUGGGCGAAAGCCUGACGGAGCAAUACCGCGUGAGGGAUGAAGGAUUUUGGUCUGUAAACCUCUUUUCUCAAGAAAGAAGUUCUGACGGUACUUGAGGAAUAAGCAUCGGCUAACUCCGUGCCAGCAGCCGCGGUAAUACGGGGGAUGCAAGCGUUAUCCGGAAUCAUUGGGCGUAAAGCGCCUGUAGGUUGUUUAAUAAGUCUGUUGUUAAAGCCUAGGGCUUAACCCUAGAAAAGCAAUGGAAACUAUUAGACUAGAGUAUGGUAGGGGUAGGAGGGAAUUUCUAGUGUAGCGGUGAAAUGCGUAGAUAUUAGAAAGAACACCGGUGGCGAAAGCGCUCUACUGGACCAUUACUGACACUCAGAGGCGAAAGCUAGGGUAGCAAAAGGGAUUAGAUACCCCUGUAGUCCUAGCCGUAAACGAUGGAUACUAGAUGUUGUGCAUUAAGGACAGUAUCGUAGCUAACGCGUUAAGUAUCCCGCCUGGGGAGUACGCUCGCAAGGGUGAAACUCAAAGGAAUUGACAGGGGCCCGCACAAGCGGUGGAGCAUGUGGUUUAAUUCGAUGCACGCGAGAGAACCUUACCAGGGCUUGACAUACUACGAAUCUUUUUGAGAAAAAAGAGUGCCUUCGGGAAUGUAGAUACAGGUGGUGCAUGGCUGUCGUCAGCUCGUGUCGUGAGAUGUUGGGUUAAGUCCCGCAACGAGCGCAACCCUUGUUUUUAGUUACCAACUUGUUGGGUUUUCUAGAAAGACUGCCGGUGACAAAUCGGAGGAAGGUGAGGAUGACGUCAAGUCAGCAUGCCCCUUAUGUCCUGGGCUACACACGUGCUACAAUGGCAGAGACAAAGCGUCGCUAGCUCGCGAGAGUAAGCUAAUCGCAUAAACUCUGCCUAAGUUCAGAUUGUAGGCUGCAACUCGCCUACAUGAAGUUGGAAUCGCUAGUAAUCGCUGGUCAGCCAUACAGCGGUGAAUCCGUUCCCGGGCCUUGUACACACCGCCCGUCACACCAUGGGAGUUGGCUUUACCCGAAGGCGGUGCGCCAACCUGUUUACAGGAGGCAGCCGACCACGGUAAGGUCAGCGACUGGGGUGAAGUC